rnacentral:ncRNA from 1 species
AUAGACACGUUGAAAAGGACAGUCUUUGUCAGAUAAGCUCAACAGCGAGCGGGGUAUGGUGUGAGCCCGUGAGAAACGACAAAGAGAAUCCCCUUGGAGUGAAACGCUGAAUUUUAGUAAGCUUUGUUCGGUUUGUCUCCGUUAAAAGACUUCCGAGUGGCUAUAUGGCGACAAGGGUGGUACCGUGAGUGAUAAUCUCGCCCCUUUU